rnacentral:rRNA from 1 species
UACGAAGGGUGCAAACGUUGCUCGGAAUUAUUGGGCGUAAAGCGCACGUAGGCGGCUUAGCAAGUCGGAAGUGAAAUCCCACGGCUCAACCAUGGAAGUGCUUUCGAAACUGCUGAGCUUGAGUACGAAAGAGGAUCGCGGAAUUCCCGGUGUAGAGGUGAAAUUCGUAGAUAUCGGGAGGAACACCAGUGGCGAAGGCGGCGAUCUGGGUCGAUACUGACGCUGAGGUGCGAAAGCGUGGGGAGCAAACGGG